UACGGAGGGAGCUAGCGUUAUUCGGAAUUACUGGGCGUAAAGCGCACGUAGGCGGCUUUCUAAGUCGGGGGUGAAAUCCUGGAGCUCAACUCCAGAACUGCCUUCGAUACUGGAAAGCUCGAGUCCGGGAGAGGUUGAGUGGAACUGCGAGUGUAGAGGUGAAAUUCGUAGAUAUUCGCAAGAACACCAGUGGCGAAGGCGGCUCACUGGCCCGGUACUGACGCUGAGGAGCGAAAGCGUGGGGAGCGAACAGG
rnacentral:rRNA from 1 species